CAGCACCUCAAGUGGUCAGGAUGAUUAUUGGGCCUAAAGCAUCCGUAGCCUGCUUUGUUAGUUUUCGGUUAAAUCCAUACGCUCAACGUAUGGGCUGCCGGGAAUACUGCAAAGCUAGGGAGUGGGAGAGGUAGACGGUACUCGGUAGGAAGGGGUAAAAUCCUUUGAUCUAUUAAUGACCACCUGUGGCGAAGGCGGUCUACCAGAACACGUCCGACGGUGAGGGAUGAAAGCUGGGGGAGCAAACCGGAUUAGAGACCCGAGUAGUCC
rnacentral:rRNA from 1 species